CUCUCACACCCAUCACACACAGCACUCUCACACCCAUCACACACAGCACUCUCUCACACAGCACUCUCUCACCCAUCACACACAGCACUCUCACACCCAUCACACACAGCACUCUCACACCCAUCACACACAGCACUCUCUCACACAACACUCUCACACCCAUCACACUCUCAGCACUCUCACAGCACUCACACACACAGCACUCUCACACACACAGCACUUUCACACACACAGCACUCUCUCACAGCACCCUCACACCCAUCACACUCACAGCACUCUCACAGAGCACUCUCUCACAGAGCACUCUCUCACAGAGCACUCUCACACGGCACUCUCACACGGCACUCUCACACACCGCACCCUCACAUACGGCACUCUCAC